UGAAAUAUACUUCUGAGAAUAUUUCCCCCAAAUCCUAUGUAAGCUUUCUUUAUAGGUUUAUAAUUCUGUUUUUCUAAAGUAUAUCACCCACUUUUCUUUGAUCUCUAUUGACUAUAUACCAUGGAGCAUCUUCUUAUGUAUUAGAAAAAAGAGACAAUUUGACAUGUAAGCUCCAUUCUUCAUUCUAAAUUAUAUCCCCCACUUCAGGUAUAUAUUCAGCUAUAUACUAAUCUCCAGGGCAUACUUUUUGGAAUAUAAGUUUCAGUCACGCCCCCUUUUUUGCAAAACCAGUAGAGUUGUUAAAGUGUGUUCCUUCUAAGGGGUGAUGGCAUAUUAUAUGUCAUAUUCUAUCAUUUGAGUUACUUCUCAUUUAUGAUGAUGGAGUAAAUUUCUCAAAAAGAACCAAAAAUCAAUAUAACUUACUAACUAGUACAUUCUGAUUAGGAGAUAUAUACGUGCCUGAAAUUCAAAUAAUUAUCAAUCACUUUAUGAAACUGUUGCAGUAAUUACCUUUGAGGCCAUGUGAACAAGAUGCCUUCAUGUAGCUAUCUUUGAAUUCCACAAGCCAAUUAUGUAGCAAAGGCACUUUGGCAUUUAUACUGAUACUUUCCAGGUGUCUGCCAAGGGAAAAUUAGAUGCUUUAGUUUGUCCACACCAGAACAAUUUGGAAAUACGUAAAGUGAACGCUUUUCCCCUUAUUUUCCCUCUUAACUCUCCUUAUAAAACCUGCCUGUCCUUUCUCAUAGCACUGUAUUAAUUUUGAUGUUUCUGUAAAUGCUUGAUGAAAUCUUAACCAUGGUUUAUGAAAGACCUAUAUGGAUACAUGGCAUUCUUUUUCUUUAAAGUCCCGUGGUAGCCGCGAAGGGGUUGAACACCAAAAUGGUAGUUUUCAUUUCAUGCAAAGCUGAAUAUAAUGGUAACAGCCCUGAAUCUUUUACAUGUGUUCUGGUUAUUUAGUAGCAGUGUUAACUUGGUUGGGAGCUGGAAGGUGGACAGGCUUAUAGACAGUGAAGCCUCACAGUACUCUGUGGUCUGCUCUGCUAGGUUUAACAUUAUGGCAUUAAAACACACUGAUAUAUCAUACGCCAUGACUUUCAUUCCCUGGUUUGUAAUCUGUUCCUUCUUUUUUCUUAAUAAAAUGCAUUUUUGAAGUAAAAUGCAGAAUAUAUUUUGAGAUGUUGUAUAAAAGUUUCAAAUGAGGGAAUUAUACUGGAUUUUUUUUUCUCAAAACAGUAAAAAGAUGUGUAGAAG
rnacentral:lncRNA from 1 species